rnacentral:rRNA from 1 species
GACGAACGCUGGCGGCGUGCUUAACACAUGCAAGUCGAACGGAAAGGCCCUGCUUUUGUGGGGUGCUCGAGUGGCGAACGGGUGAGUAACACGUGAGUAACCUGCCCUUGACUUUGGGAUAACUUCAGGAAACUGGGGCUAAUACCGUAUAGGAGCUCCUGCUGCAUGGUGGGGGUUGGAAAGUUUCGGCGGUUGGGGAUGGACUCGCGGCUUAUCAGCUUGUUGGUGGGGGAGUGGCUUACCAAGGCUUUGACGGGUAGCCGGCCUGAGAGGGUGACCGGCCACAUUGGGACUGAGAGACGGCCCAGACUCCUACGGGAGACAGCAGGGGGGAAUAUGGCACAAUGGGCGGAAGCCUGAUGCAGCAACGCCGCGGGCGGGAUGACGGCCUUCGGGUUGUAAACCGCUUUAGCCUGUGACGAAGCGUGAGUGACGGUAAUGGGUAAAGAAGCACCGGCUAACUACGUG